GACUGGACCUGAUAAUUAUUGAUAUAAAAUUUAGAUAAUGAUAAUACACAGUGAAAAGUAAUAGAUUAGCUAUAAUAUUAUAGGUAUUUGAAAUGGCUUUAUUAUUUAAAGCUAGUUUAGAUUGAAUUAGACUGGGUUUCUAAGUGCAAUGAUAUAGCCAUAUGUGGGCGAGGAUAAAAUUAUCUACUUGGGUAUAUGGGAACAGGAUCAUUUUCCAUGCCUUUCACUUGAGGUCUUCAGUUUCAUCAUUAAUCAUCUGAAUGUCGGUAUGCCAAACUCUCAUGAUGUCAUGCCAUUACUGGAUAUUCCUUAACACUGGUUUAUUUAAGCCACACUACCUAUAACAUUGCCAAAAUAUUAGACUGAAAA